GACGAACGCUGGCGGCGUGCUUAACACAUGCAAGUCGAACGGAAAGGCCCUGCUUUUGUGGGGUGCUCGAGUGGCGAACGGGUGAGUAACACGUGAGUAACCUGCCCUUGACUUUGGGAUAACUUCAGGAAACUGGGGCUAAUACCGGAUAGGAGCUCCUGCUGCAUGGUGGGGGUUGGAAAGUUUCGGCGGUUGGGGAUGGACUCGCGGCUUAUCAGCUUGUUGGUGGGGUAGUGGCUUACCAAGGCUUUGACGGGUAGCGGCCUGAGAGGGUGACCGGCCACAUUGGGACUGAGAUACGGCCCAGACUCCUACGGGAGGCAGCAGUGGGGAAUAUUGCACAAUGGGCGGAAGCCUGAUGCAGCAACGCCGCGUGCGGGAUGACGGCCUUCGGGUUGUAAACCGCUUUCGCCUGUGACGAAGCGUGAGUGACGGUAAUGGGUAAAGAAGCACCGGCUAACUACGUG
rnacentral:rRNA from 1 species